rnacentral:tRNA from 1 species
AAAGUUUUAGUAUAAAAUUUAGCAUUAUUUAUUGUCAAUAAAUAGGUUAAAACUUUA